rnacentral:rRNA from 1 species
GACGUAGGGCGCGAGCGUUGUCCGGAUUUAUUGGGCGUAAAGAGCUCGUAGGCGGCUUGUCGCGUCGUUCGUGAAAACCUGGGGCUCAACUCCAGGCUUGCGGGCGAUACGGGCAGGCUAGAGUUCGGUAGGGGAGACUGGAAUUCCUGGUGUAGCGGUGAAAUGCGCAGAUAUCAGGAGGAACACCGGCGGCGAAGGCGGCAUCCUGGACCGACACUGACGCUGAGGAGCGAAAGCCAGGGGAGCAAACGGG